UACGUAGGGUGCAAGCGUUGUCCGGAAUUAUUGGGCGUAAAGAGCUCGUAGGCGGUCUGUCACGUCGGCUGUGAAAUCCCGAGGCUCAACCUCGGGCCUGCAGUCGAUACGGGCAGACUAGAGUUCGGUGGGGGAGACUGGAAUUCCUGGUGUAGCGGUGAAAUGCGCAGAUAUCAGGAGGAACACCGGUGGCGAAGGCGGGUCUCUGGGCCGAAACUGACGCUGAGGAGCGAAAGCGUGGGGAGCGAACAGG
rnacentral:rRNA from 1 species